GACGAACGCUGGCGGCGUGCUUAACACAUGCAAGUCGAACGGAAAGGCCUCUUUCUGGGGGUACUCGAGUGGCGAACGGGUGAGUAACACGUGAGUAACCUGCUCCUGACUUUGGGAUAAGUUCAGGAAACUGCGGCUAAUACCGGCAAGGAGCCCCCGCUGCAUGGCGGGGGUCGGACAGGUUCGGCGGUUGGGGAUUGACUCGCGGCUUAUUAGCUUGUUGGUGGGGUAGUGGCUUACCAAGGCUUUGACGGGUAGCCGGCCUGAGAGGGUGACCGGCGGCAAUGGGUCCGAGGGACGGCACCGACGCCUAAGGGAGGAAGAAGUGGGGAAUCUUGAACAAGGGGUGGAGGCCGGAUGAAGCAGGGCCGUGGGUGGGAUGACGGUCUUCGGGUUGUAGACCGCUUUCGCUCAUGACGAAGCGUUGUGUGACGGUAGUGGGUAAAGAAGCACCGGCUAACUACGUG
rnacentral:rRNA from 1 species